AAAUUCCAAUCGAACUUGGAGAUAGCUGGUUCUCUCCGAAAUAGCUUUAGGGCUAGCCUCAAGUGAUGAUUAUUGGAGGUAGAGCACUGUUUGGACGAGGGGCCCCUCUCGGGUUACCGAAUUCAGAUAAACUCCGAAUGCCAAUUAAUUUAACUUGGGAGUCAGAACAUGGGUGAUAAGGUCCGUGUUCGAAAGGGAAACAGCCCAGACCACCAGCUAAGGUCCCAAAAUAUAUGUUAAGUGGAAAAGGAUGUGGCGUUGCCCAGACAACUAGGAUGUUGGCUUAGAAGCAGCCAUCAUUUAAAGAGUGCGUAAUAGCUCACUAGUCGAGUGACACUGCGCCGAAAAUGUACCGGGGCUAAACAUAUUACCGAAGCUGUGGAUUGUCCUUUGGACAAUGGUAGGAGAGCGUUCUAAGGGCGUCGAAGCAUGAUCGCAAGGACAUGUGGAGCGCUUAGAAGUGAGAAUGCCGGUGUGAGUAGCGAAAGACGGGUGAGAAUCCCGUCCACCGAUUGACUAAGGUUUCCA
rnacentral:rRNA from 1 species